rnacentral:rRNA from 1 species
GAUGAACGCUAGCGAUAGGCUUAACACAUGCCAGUCGAGGGGUAACGUGUUGGAAGCUUGCUUCCGAUGACGCCGACCGGCGGAUGGGUGCGUAACGCGUAUGCAACUUGCCUCACAGUGGAGAAUAACCCGGAGAAAUCCGGACUAAUACUCCAUACACUCUUAAGUACGCCUGUACAUGAGAGGAAAGAUUUAUCGCUGUGAGAUAGGCAUGCGUCCUAUUAGGUAGUUGGUGAGGUAACGGCUCACCAAGCCGACGAUAGGUAGGGGUGCUGAGAGGCAGAUCCCCCACAUUGGGACUGAGACACGGCCCAAACUCCUACGGGAGGGAGCAGUGAGGAAUAUUGGUCAAUGGAGGAAACUCUGAACCAGCCAAGUCGCGUGAAGGAAGAAUGUCCUAAGGAUUGUAAACUUCUUUAGCGAGCGAGUAAGGACUUCCACGUGAUGGGAGUUUGAAAGUAGCUCGAGAAUAAGUAUCGGCUAACUCCGUG